ACAAGUGAUUGGACGCAUGUUGCUUUAUCUGUUUACACAGAACUACAACCACAAACCGCGAAAUUUUGUUGUGUGUUUAUUUUUCCAAAAACUUCUCUUUAUCGCUCCGUGUAAAAUGAAGCGAAACGCGGUUAUCUAAAUGCAGGUGUCGAUGCACUUGCCUGAAUUUCGGUGGUUAUGCCCGACGUGAUUUCCUUUCCAGGUGCGGAAGUUCGUUGUACUUACCUCUCAGAUGAAAGAACAAGCCCCCAACAGGUGCCCUUUCAGAUAGCAGUUCCCGCCAUGAUCGGAGAUACAAAAUAACAACCGAGUUGUAUACAAACACAAAAAGGACCACACCCAGAGGUUACUUUUUGUAAUUAAGUAUGUACUUAGUUUGAAAAAAAAAAUUAAGAAGAAUGUAGAUGAAUUUAUCUAUGUAUAUGAAGGACGAAAGACUGACAGCUGGUAACGGAAACGGGAACUCUGCACGUUCACAUUUUACGUAUUUUCCCAGCGAACUGAUGACUCGAAAAGUAAAAAUGUAUGCUUAAUUAGGAAGAUUCCUACUUUGUUAUUCUAAAAUUUGACGUUUAGUUAAGACACACGAAAUUGGACCUAAUAUCUACGUUUUACCACUCUAUCCAAGAGUAGUUUAUUAGUCUUACAAACACAAGCACACUAUAAUUAAGAAAAAUAGCGCUGCAAGUGUGCAUUUGUUACAGAGUACAGUUUGAUAAAACAGUAAAUUUGGAAAUCCCCGCUAACUUUUUUAUGUUUCGAUGGUACACGACCACGUCUGCCAUACUGUUUCUCAUAUUUCACGGCAAGAUCUCAUAAUUUACCAUCUGUUCUCUCUUAAAUUUAACCAUUAAGAACACGUUCACCUUAACAAGGUUAAUGCAGAAAAAACGAUGGAAACCAUAAAAGUAACAAGAUCCGGUGAGCAAGGGGAGAGUGUUCGUUCCACCGGGGAUCGAAUACCCCAUGUGUGGGCGCGUUUCCGGUGAAGGAAAUUACAUAUGGUUGAGAUGCAGCCAGAUUCAGCUGGAAGUGUGUGUGCUACACACCUUGGUUUACCUCAGGAAAGGAAACCACAUAUUCGUAUACGAUAAAUCUAUAGCGGCAUGGUUUUAAUGCUAUUUCCUGCCUUUGUAGGGUUUUGUUAACAAGGUGCGUCUUGCUUGAUUAUACAAAAGGUAAAUAAGAUUUCCGAUUCACAUUGACAUUCUUUGAAUAUCUGGUUUAUUAAGGUGGAUUAUUAAAAUAUCGUGAUUUAAAAAAGUGCGGUAGGUAUUUAAGUAAUUUCAUUAAAUGACUAAUUUACUCGCUGAUCAAGGUCUUGGACCACUUCUUCAAAAUACACUUCGCACAACAGUACGAAAUAUACAAAUAAAAAACGUUUGUAAGUUUCACUUAACGUAAU